UUUGCCUAAAUAAUUCUACAAUUGAAUUAGUCUUAAAAAGGUAUGUUUCCAUAUCAAUUUAAUUCUGAAAAGUUUUUGGGUUGUUGACAAGGUGUUUCUAUGGCAAUGGUUUAUGGUUUGUUUGUUUCUUUUGUAAAAAAUAGGUUGCUAUAGUUUAGAUUGGGUAGUUUUUGGUUUUUUUGUUGGUGGCUAGUGUCUUACGGGAUUGGGGUUUUUUCACUAGGGGUUGGUUUUUAACGGGGUUGGGUCGGUUUAUGACGAGGUUGGGUCGGUUUAUUAUGAGGUCGGGAUGGUUUUCACGGGGGUGAGUGUAGUUUAUACGGGGGUUGGGGUGGUUUUCACGGGGGUGUGGGCGGUUUGUUAGAGGUUAAGGCUUAGGGUUGGUUUAUAGGGGUUUGUUAUUGAUGGUAUUUUCUUGGGUUUUUCUUUUUUUUUUUAAUGUUAAAUUAAGUAUAUUAUUUCCUUUGCAGUUUGCAGUUUAGGUCAAUUAAUUACUUUAAUAUUGAUGAUUUUUCUUGGUUUAUUUUGUAUAACAGAUGAUUUAGGUGCCCAAGAGUUGAUUUAUGUGGUGAAGAUUGCAUAUGGGAUAAUAUAUGAUUUUAUCCCCUUAAUUUUGUUAUUGAUGUUUAAAUCGUGUAAGGUUUUUAGAGGCCAGAUGACCAAUUCAAGAAACUUGCUUAGCUGAUAUAUGGAGGGCUAAAGAAAUUACCAAAGAGAUGGUUGGAUUCACUUGCCGUAUAAAAUUGGUGGGAAUGUUGUUAGUUUUGAUAACUUAUUGUAAAUUAUUAUUUCCAUUAGUUAUUAUUUACUUGUUCCAUAAAUUCUCUUAUACAUGUAAAUUAUUGUUCGUAUAUACUUGUAAAUGUUACUACUA